GUCUAUGGCGCAGUGGUAACGCGUCGCACUUGUAUACCACUAGAAAGAGAACCUUUCUUGAUGCCAUAAAAAUGCGAAGAUCACAAGUUCAAUUCUUGUUGGAGGCA